AAUACUUUUCGCUGAAUUGUUUUCGAAAUAAAAGAGAAGAUUUGCGGCCGAGUCGCUGUGUUUUUCCGACCUAUCUGUCGGACUGACAGGCCGAAAUCGCGGUCACGUGACCAUGUUGUAGCCGCUAGUGCACGUCUCCAUAGGGUCAGCUUCACUGAGCUCUCCCUCGGGUCUUCCGUGUCUAGACUAGCAGCGCGAGCGCUGAGCGACAGGUCGUCUGAGCACGUCAGGGCAGAGAGGGACAUCUACCUGGAUCAUGUGACCGACCGAAGUUCCACAGGUCAGCUUUUUGCUGUGUCUGAUUUACCAUCAUGCAACGGAAAAAUAGGUGCAGAAUACCUGGUAUCGGUGUCAGACUGGAUGUCCACAUUCAGACAUAAGAGGUUCGUCUUACAGAAUCCAGUUGGUCCCACACUGAUAGUAGGUCCCCUGGAGGACACAAUUUACAGGAGAAUGAUGAUGAGGUGAACGGGUGGGAAACCUUCCAGACAUAGUGAACAUGCAGGUUGUAGGUGUAGUGGAGGGAACAUCAUGUCCAUGUGACCAGCUUGUCCUGAUGACAUGUGAGGACAAAAAGCUGUAUGCCUACGAUGGAGAGGAGCUGCAUCUGGUGGCUUCAAGCCUUGACCAGCUACGUUCUGAUGGGAUGGAGUUUCCAGCAUCCAAGACCUUUUACAAGGGAGAGGCUUUCAAAGAUAUGACUGAGGAGGACUGGGCUGAGGUGAGGAAAGGUCCUGUGGGCAGAAAGUUGGACCAAGAGCAUCAGAAAUGGGUGAAAGCAAAUAAGUCCACAAUCCUGCAGAACCUCCUAUGUGGCAGAGAGAAACAGAGACCUGUGAUAGACUGGUGACCUGUCCAGAGUGUCCUCUGUCUUCACCUUAAGUCAGCUGGGAUAGACUCCAGUCCCCCAUGACCCUAAUGAGGACUAAGUGGUGUCAUCAGUGACUUCGAGGUGACCUCCUUCCUGACAACAUGCUAAGUACAUUUGAUCAGUCAGCUCAUACAGGCUGAACUUAACAGCUGUCGUAGCUGUCAUAUGUGAGACAAACAUCUGCCUGCAGUGCUGUACGGACAGCACUGCAGGCUGCAGGAUGUGAAUCCGAGUGUGAUUGUUUGUCUCUGUGUGGUCCUGUGACAGACUGACAACCCUCUUUCCUGCCCUGCCUUUACCCUAAGUCAGCUGGGAUAGACUCCAGCUCUCCAACUCCAACACUUUUUGUUACAAUAUAAUCUCACAUUUAUUCUUUUGUUUAUAGUUUAGAUGUCUUCAGCAUUAAUCUACAAUGUACAAAAUAAUUAAAUAAAAACCAUUGAAUGAGAAGGUGUGUCCAAACUUUUGACUGGUAGUGUAUGUAUAUUGUUGUCAGUCAAUCAAACUUUAUUUAUAUAGCAUUUUUCAUACAGUUGAAAUGCAACACAAAGUGCUUUACAACAGUUAAAAACAUAAAAAACAAGAAAACCCAUCCUUCCCUCCCUCCAUAUAUGCAUAUAUGGACCAUAGACUGUAUAUAAAGAUAUAUACAGUCUAUAAUAUGGAGACAUCUACACAUGCACACACAUGCACGUCCACACAGACACACGCACACGUGAGCACAACGUUGUGUAGACAAACAAGAAGUUCAGCAUCACAAAAAUAGCAGCAGAAGAAGAAACGCUGAACAAAAUAAAGGCGGAACAGACCACAAGGUGGCACUGCGGGACUACAAUGUCUUCUUAAUACAUAAACAACACUGUGCAGGACAAUAAUAAUACAGUUUAUCAGACAUUUACAGUCACCAUUGGUUGUUGAUGGCGAGUUUAUAAUUUGACUAGAUUUAUAAUACUGUAUACUGUGUAUGUAAUAACGUGUCAAUAAUUCUUAUAGUGUGUAGUUUUAGUUUUAAUAACAAUGCACAUACUGUUUUAGACCUUGUCUUUUUUAUUCAUUCUUGCUUGUCAAAGGUUUAUUAUAUUUUAAUAUAGCACUAUGAGCUGUGAUGUUUUACGCAACGUAGAAUAGGCAAAGGGGCAGUCAGGGCUGCUUCAUUACAAAAUUUCUGUCAUAUCAGAAAUACUUUAUUGAUCCCCAAGGGAAAAUUGCUUGUGUUGCAGCUGCUUCUAUUCAAAAAUGUUAAAAUAUAUUCAGAAGUUCAAAAUACAAGAAUGAGUUAGUGUCAAAUAUAAACAGAGGUAAAAAAAAGAGCCAAAAGUAUUAAAAAUAAAAUUUAACUUUCUACUAGGAUAUAUAUGUAUAUACAGUGUAAAAAUGACAAAUUAUGCAUUAUUGCUCAGAAUUAAAUGUUGUACAUUGCACAUUAUUUGCACAGUUCAAAUGAAUGAAUUAUAACAGUUUAAAAAAAAUAUUAACCAGGAAUAUGCAACAGUGGACCUGUUUAGAUGUGUAUCAAAACCAAGAACAUCAAUUCUAAUCGUGUGAUGACCCAAGAUAGACCUUUUCAUUUAAAGACAGACUGAUCAUUUCAAUGCUUUAUGAUACUGAAGGUGUUUCAAAAACUAAAAAGAAAUAAGGACAUACAACCAGCUCAGGACAACAAACAGAACACUGCACCAAUAUUUCUGGGUGCCAUACUGUACAUACCUGGACAACAUUUAGUAGUAUUAAAAUAGUAAGGCUCUGACAUUAAUCUGCCAUUCUUAAUCAAACAUGUGAAAGUUGGUAUGUAAUGUUGGAGCUGUAUGUGCUACUCUGUAGACUAAAGCUGUGCAAACUGAAGCUUUUAUCCUCUGCAAUUUCUCUGCAUUGUGGACUCAUCUAUUUCCUAAAAGGUUGAGAAAAAUUUCAUCUGCAUUGUAUAUCUUUACAGUGUUCAUAAAUUGUAUUUCCACGUAGGUCAUCUUCCCCUCUGAGAAGAGGGCUCUCUUCUUAGAUUCAUUUGGGGAAUCCCUCACCCAAAUGAAGUCAUGCCAGGCAGUAACAAGAGCAUUCCUAAGAGGCAACAGAUGCGAUAUAUCCAGAGCACUCUACCCCACCCAAUCCAAAAGGAUUGUACAUCAUGUGGGAUCUUCACCCUCAAGUUAAGUGUUACAUUAGUUCUUGGACAAUGCUCCUAAAUCAGUCAUUAAUAUUAUGUGUUUUUGGGAAAGCAUCCUUUAGCAUGAAUUAUGAUGAUUUCAACUAUUAAAAUCAACCAAUAUUUAUGCCUAUGUGAACCCUCUGUACUACUACAUCUUUUAUGCUGUCUAUAAACAAUUGCAUGGAUGCAAAAGCUUUUGCAAAACAGAUGAGCUCUUGUUUUUCAUCUGCUGUUUAUUUGCAUGCUACCACACCCUGCUACACAAACCUUCUGUCACACAGUAGAAAACAUGGUAGAAUGUGCAUUUAUGUUCAUUCAUCCUCCUAUUGUACAUUUUCCAAUAGUUAAUUUGUUCUAGAUAUAAAGAGAUGUUCUUCUAACAAAGAAACUGACGGGUGUGUUUGCUUUCCAUGUGUUUCUAUGAUGCACCUGCCCCAUGUGGAGCAAACUGGUAAUAUGAUAUUGAUGUGGGUGAGAUGUGUGAUGUGGGACAUAAAUGAUCAAGAAAAUAUCACAGUCACGAAUGUACACUACCAUUCAAAAGUUUGAACACACUUUCUCAUUCAAUGCAUUUUAUUUGUUUGUAUUAUUCUCUACAUUGUACCGUGCUGAGGCUUGAGUCGUUCAUCCAGAAAAUACAUGUUGAUAGCACCACAACGAUAACCACAUAUCAGACAGAAUUGUCACAUGAUAUUAAACAGAAGCUAUCAACUCAACUCUGUAGAGUGAUCAGCCAUAAUGGAGCAGCUGCUUCGAAUGCCAACAAAUCACCUGAAUCCCAAAUAUUGGCCAGGGCGGGGAUCAUGAUAUAAACAAAAUGUGUAUAUUCAUUUUAGUGGCAAGUUAGGAGUUCACUUCCACUUCUACAAACUCAUAACACACGAUCAGUACCAUGUCAGUAGAACAUCUGGUAACUGCAUUAUAAGUAGUAAACGUUACACAUUGCACAUUAUUUGCACAGUUCAAAUGAAUGAAUUAUAACUGUUUUAAAAAAAAAAAUUAACCAGGAAUAUGCAACAGUGGACCUGUUUAGAUGUGUAUCAAAACCAAGAACAUCAAUUCUAAUCGUGUGAUGACCCAUGUGGGCUCUUCACCCUCAAGUUAAGUGUUACAUUACUUCUUGGACAAUGCUCCUAAAUCAGUCAUUAAUAUUAUGUGUUUUUGGGAAAGCAUUCUUUAGAAUGAAUUAUGAUGAUUUCAACCAUUAAAAUCAACCAAUGUUUAUGCCUAUGUGAACCCUCUGUACUACUACAUAUUUUAUGCUGUCUAUAAACAAUGAAAAAUACAUUACUUUUUAAAAAUAAUUUGCUAAUUUCUAUUUUCAGUUUGCUGGGAGCAUUAAUAAUGGCGAGAAUGAAAUUAAAUUCAAAAUGUCAGCUGAGGACCUCAUGGCCUCCCCCUUUCCUGCUCCGCGCUCUGCCUGAUUAAGAGUGGCUGUGCUGGUGCACAGCUGCCUCAAAUCAGUAAUCAGCACAGCAUAAAGGCCUGGCUCUCUCCACUGCUCCUUGCUGGGCCAUUGCAUGCGAUCCUCCGUCAAGCAUACAUCACUGUUGUAUUCCGUCAGUCCCUGGACUUCCUCGCCAGCUCCGUCCACCUUCCCUCACCCCGGAACCCUCAUCUGCUCGUCACCCCUCCUCCGCUCUGCACCCCCCUCUCAUCUGCUCCUUGUCUGCCUGAUCCUCUGUCUCUGCCACAUCCCCGCCACCGGCUUCCUCAGCUCGGCCACCCCACCUCGUCUCCCGAUUCCCCGGACAUUGUUUUAGUCACCUCUCCCCGUUUUUAGUUCAGUUUAGCCCUCACCACGGCCGUCUGGUCCGUCGCCCUCUGUUAGUUGAGUUUAGUUUCAUUCCCCGUUCUGUUAUUUCCUGUGCCUCCCCUGAGGAGAGUUUAGGUUGAAUUAUUAUUAAACCAUUGUUAAUUUA